AAGCAAACCUAACUGAAGAGAGAGACCUGCUGAGUGUCAGCCUCAAUGAAACUACUAAAGAGCUACACCGGCUUCAGAAGCAGAACAGUGAUGUGAUCCGUGGUUUAACUGAAGAGAGAGACCUGCUGAAUGCCAACCUCACUGAAACUACUAAGGAGCUACACCAGCUUCAGAGUUUGUCUAAGCAGAGUAAAACUUGUCCUGCAGGAUGGAAGUUGUUCAGCUGUUCCUGUUAUCUCCUCUCCAGUAGCAGUGGUUCCUGGUCAACAGGCAGACAGGACUGCAGAGAGAGAGGAGCAGAUCUGGUGAUUAUAAACAGCCUUGAAG